CCGAACUCCGCUUGGCCCAUUCAACCCUUCUCCUCGCGCGGCCCAACUUCCCCACUCAGGCGCACCCCAGCCGCGCGCAGACUUACCUUGGUUGAUGCAUGGGGCCACCCUGACAGAGCCGUCUUCCUCGUGCUGGGCAAACGAGCUCAACAAACCCGACGCGAAUCUCGUGGAGUCGCGCCCGUAAAGCUAACCGACCCAUUCCCUGGCCCUAUAUGAGUGUCCGCAAAUCGCCCCUUGAAUACCGAGCGGAGAAUCCAGUCGCCAUCGAGAGACCCAAGGAACAAGGACGCCGCCGCGCGGAAAACUCGUCGUCGCCGCCAAUCCUCGCUCCCAUCGCCAAUGGGGCCUGGGGGUCAACCCAGGGGGCUUCGUCCCAUCGUCGGGGUUGUGCCCGUGGCCAAGUUGGGGGGGAAACGACCAUUAUGGCGAGCCCAAUUGCACACCGAAGAUUGUAAUCCACAUCGAAUCCGCCCUUGACGCGGUCAGAGAUCUCUGCGCCCCUAUUCUCCGGUAAGACCCCCCUCUAGUCCUCGCCAUCCUCCUAGCUCCGCUAGCACCUAUCGUAGUCGAGGUUAGGGCCCCGUGGCUGCAGAUUGUCAUCACCAACGUUGGCGUCGCCGCCGGAGUUGUGGGCGCCAUCGCGUUAUGCGGCUCUGGGGGGGAGACAUGGGUCGGCCCUUGGUUCUGAGAUUUGCGGUCAGGAUUAGAUGGAAGGAGUAGUGUG
rnacentral:lncRNA from 7 species